rnacentral:rRNA from 1 species
GUGGGGGAUAUUGCACAAUGGGGGAAACCCUGAUGCAGCGACGCCGCGUGAAGGAAGACGUACUUCGGUAUGUAAACUUCUAUCAGCAGGGAAGAAGAUGACGGUACCUGACUAAGAAGCCCCGGCUAACUACGUGCCAGCAGCCGCGGUAAUACGUAGGGGGCAAGCGUUAUCCGGAUUUACUGGGUGUAAAGGGAGCGUAGACGGUGAAGCAAGUCUGAUGUGAAAACCCGGGGCUCAACGCCGGGAUUGCAUUGGAAACUGUUUUACUUGAGUGCUGGAGGGGCAAGCGGAAUUCCUGGUGUAGCGGUGAAAUGCGUAGAUAUCAGGAAGAACACCGGUGGCGAAGGCGGCUUGCUGGACAGUAACUGACGUUGAGGCUCGAAAGCGUGGGGAGCAAACAGGAUUAGAUACCCCUGUAGUCC